CCGGCUUACCAACCCGAUGCAAACUGCGAAUACCGGAGAAUGUUAUCACGGGAGACACACGGCGGGUGCUAACGUCCGUCGUGAAGAGGGAAACAACCCAGACCGCCAGCUAAGGUCCCAAAGUCAUGGUUAAGUGGGAAACGAUGUGGGAAGGCCCAGACAGCCAGGAUGUUGGCUUAGAAGCAGCCAUCAUUUAAAGAAAGCGUAAUAGCUCACUGGUCGAGUCGGCCUGCGCGGAAGAUGUAACGGGGCUAAACCAUGCACCGAAGCUGCGGCAGCGACACUGUGUGUUGUUGGGUAGGGGAGCGUUCUGUAAGCCUGUGAAGGUGUGUCGUGAGGCAUGCUGGAGGUAUCAGAAGUGCGAAUGCUGAC
rnacentral:rRNA from 1 species